rnacentral:rRNA from 1 species
UACGUAGGGCGCAAGCGUUGUCCGGAAUUAUUGGGCGUAAAGAGCUCGUAGGCGGCUUGUCACGUCGGGUGUGAAAGCCCGGGGCUUAACCCCGGGUCUGCAUUCGAAACGGGCUAGCUAGAGUGUGGUAGGGGAGAUCGGAAUUCCUGGUGUAGCGGUGAAAUGCGCAGAUAUCAGGAGGAACACCGGUGGCGAAGGCGGAUCUCUGGGCCAUUACUGACGCUGAGGAGCGAAAGCGUGGGGAGCGAACAGG